GGCGGGAAGCUCAGCGGUGGGGCCACGCGCGGAGUGCGCGUCACUCUCCCGGCCCCUGGGAAGGUCUGAGACUCGGGCCAGCAGCGGCCCUAGCAGGGCCCUCCCCGCGCGCGGGGGGGUGAGUUCCCAGAGAGCGGGCCCCGGCGAGGGCCUUCGGGCAGGAGAGGCCGCGUGCGCGGCGGAUGCCCCCUCCCCGGGGCUUGGAAUAGACUCACGGCCGGCACGGUGAGUUCAAUGGCUGGGCCGGGGCACCCGAGCUGGCCGCACCCGGCCGCGGGGCUCCGGAACCCAAUUCAGACUACUCUCCCCCGCC
rnacentral:RNase_P_RNA from 15 species